rnacentral:rRNA from 1 species
GACGAACGCUGGCGGCGUGCUUAACACAUGCAAGUCGAACGGAAAGGCCCUGCUUUUGUGGGGUGCUCGAGUGGCGAACGGGUGAGUAACACGUGAGUAACCUGCCCUUGACUUUGGGAUAACUUCAGGAAACUGGGGCUAAUACCGGAUAGGAGCUCCUGCUGCAUGGUGGGGGUUGGAAAGUUUCGGCGGUUGGGGAUGGACUCGCGGCUUAUCAGCUUGUUGGUGGGGUAGUGGCUUACCAAGGCUUCGAUGGAUAGGGGUUCUGAGAGGAAGGUCCCCCACAUUGGAACUGAGACACGGUCCAA